rnacentral:snRNA from 1 species
GUAAAUUGGGUUUAAUAUCAAGUAAAAUCGAAAAUGUUGAGAAUGGAGCCCAGGAAAGCAAAGCAGCACUUGGGACAUUGAAAUGUUAAUGUUCCCAAGGCCCAGAGCCCAUUGUAAAGAAAUGUUAAUGAAACAGCUGUGCUCGCUUAGGUAGCAUGGCCCCUGCACAAGGAUGACACAAAUUCGUGAAGCGUUCCAUAUUUUU